rnacentral:rRNA from 1 species
UAGUCUCUUUCUGGGGUUGCUACUCUAAGGCUACCUGCUAAAGUUAUUGCUUUAAAGCAGGGGUUUUAGGGGACCUUCCCCAAAAGGGGCCAGUGCGGAGCACUGGCCAGUGGCGAACGGGUGAGUAACACGUGGGUAAUCUGCCCUCGAGUGGGGAAUAAGCUUCCGAAAGGGGGUCUAAUGCCGCAUAACGUUUCAUAACGAUGGUUAUGAAACCAAAGCCCAAAAGGCGCUUGAGGAGGAGCCUGCGUCCUAUCAGCUUGUUGGCAGGGUAAUGGCCUACCAAGGCUAUGACGGGUAGCCGGCCUGAGAGGGUGUCCGGCCACACUGGAACUGAGACACGGUCCAGACUCCUACGGGAGGCAGCAGUGGGGAAUUUUGCGCAAUGGGGGAAACCCUGACGCAGCGACGCCGCGUGGAGGAUGACGGCCUUCGGGUUGUAAACUCCUGUCAGAAGGGACGAAAUCCCGCAAGGGACUGACGGUACCUUCAGAGGAAGCCCCGGCUAACUACGUGCCAGCAGCCGCGGUAAUACGUAGGGGGCAAGCGUUGCUCGGAAUUACUGGGCGUAAAGGGUGAGUAGGCGGUCGGGCAAGUCAAGGAUGAAAUCCCGAGGCUCAACUUCGGAAUUGUUCUUGAAACUGUUCGGCUUGAGGGUAGUUGAGGAGAGCGGAAUUCCCGGUGGAGCGGUGAAAUGCGUAGAUAUCGGGAGGAACACCUGAGGCGAAGGCGGCUCUCUAAACUACUCCUGACGCUGAAUCACGAAAGCUAGGGGAGCAAACGGGAUUAGAUACCCCGGUAGUCCUAGCCGUAAACGAUGGACACUGGAUAUUCCGGCAUUUCUGCUGGAGUGUCGUAGCUAACGCGUUAAGUGUCCCGCCUGGGGAGUACGAUCGCAAGGUUGAAACUCAAAGGAAUUGACGGGGGCCCGCACAAGCGGUGGAGCAUGUGGUUUAAUUCGACGCUACGCGAAGAACCUUACCUGGGCUUGAACUGCUGGUGGUAGAAGCCCGAAAGGGUAACGACCCGGAGCAAUCCGGGAGCCAGUAGAGGUGCUGCAUGGCUGUCGUCAGCUCGUGUCGUGAGAUGUUGGGUUAAGUCCC